UCUACAAAACAAACAUUCAUCGCUUUAUUCCAUAUAUACUGUAGCAAAUACCAAAUGUCAAGACUUUAGCCCAGAAAUAUUUAAUGUUUCACCUUUUUUGUUAUGAAGUAUUUGGGGCCUUAAAAUACUGAACAUUUUUCUCCUAGUUUUUUUUCUUACAAAAAACAUUAUUUUCUUUUACUUCCUAUUUUGAAGCCUAAAUAUUUAGUAUAGCUCAUUCAUAAACCAGAUGGGUGAAAGAAAAACGAUCUCGCCUUUUCUGGCCACAAUACUGACGCAUCAGCACGGCAAAUAUACCUCUAUUCUUAUUAAAUGUAUUGCAUAAUUGUACAUUUCCUAAUGUGAAAUGCAUAUAGCAGAGAACGAGCCCCUCAUAUUCAAAGCCUUCGUCCUGAUUUCUGCAGAUAGACAGGAACAUGGGCAGGAUGUUUAUACAGCAGAAUGUAAACAUUUUCGCUGGCCUUCUUUAAAUAAAAAAUCAAGUUAAGCUCCGUUAGAUCAGCUAAUACUCAAUCUGAUGUGCCUGCCCGCACUGUCUUGUCUAGAUGCUGGACGUUUUUGCGCAUGGAUAUUGUUUGUAUGAUGAAGUCAUAAUAUUUACGCAGAGACGCAGGAGAAGUGUGGUGGAAAGUCUGCCGAACUGUGAGUGCACAAGCUGGACGAGGACUGGAGAUCGACUCCUACGGACAGAUUUACAUCGAAGGAUCCAGGGAUGAAGGAAGACUCAGCCUCAGAGUGGGGGCCUGUUUCAUGUCCCACCGUGCACCCUGCACACCUCCUGGGCUCCCUCACAGUGUGCCUGAUGCAGACAGAGACGUCAAGAACGAGCUGAAGCAGAAACCACAGAGAAGAACUCCAAAGAGAGAGGCAGGGCAGACUUGGGUCCGAGUCAAACUCAGACCCCUCUGCUGCAGUGUGAACAGGCGAAGAAGCUGAUGAUGUAGUAAGGACUGUUUAAAAGCCAGCACAGAGCAAAGGCUGCAGUAGGCCCGUGUGCGGCUUUGGCCACAGGAAGCCGUGAAUAUUUGUGAGAAUGGAAGAUGUCUUAUGGAGGAGACAUACUGCCUCCUCCCCCUCCCCCCCCAGACCCCACCCACUCACCACCCCAUCUGACACCUGACCCCUUCGUGUGUUUAUAUCAGAGCGUGGAAGUGAGAAAUAGUGAUGAGUCACUCUGACUGAGUGUUUACACUCCGGAGUCACGCAAGGAAGGAAAUCAGCCACGGUCUGCUAAAAGUGGCGAGCUGGAUCUGCACAUUUUAUUGGUUUGAACCACAUAGAUGGAAAGAAAUUAAAACUGAAUUAAUGCAGCAGCAACUCAGACUACGGGUCUUUUUGAGGCUUAUCACAGGUGUCGGUAAGGACAGACAGACAGGCACAUGGUUCCACUUUGACGUCUGCUAAUUCCAGGGAAUCAAUCCUAAAUGACACCUAUGGGAUACACAGAGUGGAUUUCCCUCUGAUGCAGAUUGGUGGUGGUUUGCAGAUGAAAGACAGUAAAAUAAAUAAAGCUGUGGUGAGCAGGCAGAGCUCUUCUGUCUGCACUGUACGACCAUAACGGGAUACACACUGACAAGACAGGAGAAGGGGAGGCCUGCUCCUGUUUUCAACACUGUUGGCAUGGAAACGCUGAUGAACUUCUGCGUCCUGAUGAUCUAUAAGGACUCAGUUGUAUAAAAUAUUCUUAUUUUUUUUUUUGUCUCAAAGGGGGUAAAAGAGUUACCUCACAAGAGGAAUAAAGAGAUUAGCAGAAAGCUGGUCUUUGUCAGCAGCUCUGCUCCCCGGCCCGCUGCAGCUGAUACAGUUUUAAUCCUCAAACACUCGUUACCUUAAAUUCAGCAGUAUCAAAUGACUUUUUAACCUCCUCCAAUAAAUCUUUUCAUCAGCUGCGGUGUCUGCAGGCAGCCUGCAGUAAGAAUAGUAAUGGUAAGACUAUACAGGCUUGUCUCAUCUUGGCUGAGAACAUGCAUGAUACUCCUACAAGUUACACUGACCUCCUCCUAAUCAUCGCUGUGCAAGUGAAACCUCAGCUUUGCGUUGUGCAACAUCUCAAGUGCGCUGGAUAGAUCCUUAAAUGUUCUUUAAGAGGAUGAGUUCGACACAGAUGUCAAAUACAAACACAAUAAGCUAAUUUUCUGCUGAAGUUUGAGUUGAAGACAUGUAUGAAGUAGCAACAUUUUGUGACAUCACAAGUUUGGAUACCGAGUCAUGAUCCAAAUAUAUACAACUAACAAAGUGUUGUGUAAAAACCUGAGGCCUCCAUGUACACUCAAACAUUUGGAAUGCUGUGUCCUGCAGUGAGAAGACAAAUAAACGCAAUUUCUUUAAUUCAAUCAGGAAAACAGAGAAUGUUGAAUUUAUUGAAAUUCCUUGUUGAGGAAAUGACCAGACAAAGUAUUAAUGGAGUUCCAAUAUUUCAAGCACAGAUGUUUAGAUGUCUCCUAACAUUUCUUGAUGGGAUCUUUACAAUAAAACGUGUCACUUCUGUCAUUUAAAGGUGAAAGCAGAUUUAACAGUUGUCCCACUAAUUGGCUCCCAUCCAUUAUUGCCUGAUAAGAGGCGCAGAAUCUCACAUAAAGAAGGAGCGUUAUCAAGGUUUUGUCACUGGUGCCACUGAGGUGAUUUAUUCAGAUUCUGGUCGACUCCCGUCUGAUGCACUUCAACAAAUCACAGCCUGAGGUCUGGCUAACCCUGCAACACACUCAUCUCUGUCUCCCUCUGUUACCCCCACACAUGCAGCUCACUUUGACUAUGUGCAUGUAGCACCCAGGGGCCAUUUUCAAAGCCACACUGUCCUCAAGAGUCCCUCCAAUUUAGUAAGAAAGGGGUGAAAUUUGAAUCAUACUGUGGACGAAUGAUUUUAAAUAAUCCUGUGAAAUAAUAUUAAUUUGCAGACAGGCUUUGCUCAAACUUUUAUAUCCACACACUUAGAAUAUUUAAAGUGAGUUAUUACCCUUCUCAUUAAGCCAAAACUAUAGUUUAAAUAAACAACUAAUAUGUGUUUGCAGAGGGGAGCUGUGAGUUUGUGUAAUGAUUAAGAGGUCUCUGACCACCAGCAGUGCGCUGUGACCCGGGGGCUCAGGGUGAUAAGACCUCCAUAAUUCUACUUUAUCCCUCUGCUCAUUAUCAACCUCAAUCACAGAUCUGGGCCGAGCCCUCGGGCUGCAGCAGGACAGACUGCUCUGCACCUUCACACAGUCCUCUGCAGCCAGAAGAUUACUGAGGAGACACACAGGCUCAGUUUCCCUGCUCCCAAACACUUCAGCUAUACAAAAUAGUCAACCCUGCCUCCCACAGAAUAAAGCUGUGAAUUGCAAAAGAGGAAAAUUACAUGAAGAAAAAGGUUAUUAAGAUUAAUUAUUUUUUUAUUUUUAACAAUCAUAUUUGCAUUCUUUUUAUUAUGUAUAUUCAACCUUUAUUUUGACCUUAUUUAAACCUCACAACUGUGCUGAGGAACCUGAGCAAUAUUUGUAAGUAUUUCAUUCAUAUCUUAAAGGCAUGCAAAUCCUCUAAUCAGAUAAAGUCUUCAUUUAUUUCUUAAUGGAGACAGGUUGAAUUAUUCCAGAGCUCCAGGUCUGGCCUGAGGUCUGACCAAAGUGGGUUCCUGAGGCUAUCAGGUUGUCAGCCAGGCUCCGACUCUCCUCAAAGUUGGCUUUUUUUGGAGGGAAACUUACAGCAGCCAGUAGCAGAGGCCUAAGUGAUGUGUUAAUACAUGAAAAUGAAAGCUUUCUUUUAACCUCAGGCUGUUAUUCCUGGCCAACGGUAUCUGCCGCACAGCCACAAAUAUUUCAUCACGUUCUUUGAGCGGCAAAACACGGGACUGUUUUUAUUUGUUUAACUUUCAUGUGCAUGUAAGAGGUUUUUAUAUGAAGUGAACCACUGUACCAUCGGAGGUGAAUGAUUGAUUUCUCUUCAACAAAAAAUCUUAAUACAGCACCCCUUAACAAUUAAAUCGUAUUAUGCACUGGUGUUUUUGUGUUCUUAGAUUUAUUUUUGGGCUUUUGUGCCUUUAAUGCAGAGAGAGGACAGUGGAUAGAGUCAGAAACCAGGGAGAGAGAGUGGGGAGCGACAUGCGGAGGGAGGCCACGGGUGGAGGCAAACUCGGGCCUCCCGCUCAAGACGACAACCUCAAUACAUGGGGCGCGCGCCCUAACCAUUGCGCCACCAGCGCGCCCCAACAAUUAACAUCACUUUUAAUUGUUCUCACUGAUGAAAUGCCUACACACAUGCUCAUACCAAAAGACCUCUGUGUAAUAUCCAGUGUGUCAUGAAAAAUGUAAUUUGAACAACCUAAGCUUCGACAAAGUCUUGUGCCCCGCCUGAGAUAUAUGGUCACAACCUGGGGGGCCUAUACCCCAGGUUGGGAACCAAUGCUCUGAAUGAUUUGUUAUUUUCUGCUGGAUUAAAAAUAAAAGUAAAAAUUCAGACUCAUUCAUUUCUCUGGAGUAGUUCUUCCUUUAGCCGUCCAGCUCUUUGUUUAUGUUUUUAUGUUUAUGUUUGUGUGCCAGAGUGUUUCUGACCACAUGCAUUUGUGUGUGCCCUCGUGUUUUAUGUGUGCUGUGAGGGGAACAAUGAUGGACAUGACAAAAAUGAAUUUGUUCUUAAUUAUGCAAACAUUAAUGAAUCUG